rnacentral:rRNA from 1 species
UACGGAGGAUGCGAGCGUUAUCCGGAUUUAUUGGGUUUAAAGGGUGCGUAGGCUGUGAGGUAAGUCAGCGGUGAAAUGCCCCCGCUCAACGGGGUGAAGUGGCCAUUGAUACUGCCUUGCUGGAAUGCGGAUGCCGUGGGAGGAAUGGUGUGGUGUAGCGGUGAAAUGCAUAGAUAUCACGCAGAACGCCGAUUGCGAAGGCAGCAUACCGGCUCCACACUGACGCUGAGGCACGAAAGCGUGGGUAUCGAACAGG